UUGGAUUCCAAAACAGCAUAUCAGUUUUGUUUUCCAUUUACCUUUAUCUCUCACUAAUAUCUCUUCCCAUCUUGUUUCUUGGUUCUUAUUUUGCUCCCUAAUCUCUUAGCAUUGAAGUGCUCAUAGCUCAGUUUUAGCGUUUCUUCUCUGUUGACACAUACUAUUUUGUUCACAUUAUUUAAAGCUUAUGAUGCCCAAAGUUUUAUAUCCAUCCUAGACCACUAGUCUCAAAUCCUGGCUUGUAUAUUC
rnacentral:lncRNA from 10 species